UGUAGCCUGGUGUCCAGCUUGGAAA
rnacentral:piRNA from 1 species